GAGUUUGAUCCUGGCUCAGGAUGAACGCUAGCUACAGGCUUAACACAUGCAAGUCGAGGGGCAGCAUGGUCUUAGCUUGCUAAGGCCGAUGGCGACCGGCGCACGGGUGAGUAACACGUAUCCAACCUGCCGUCUACUCUUGGACAGCCUUCUGAAAGGAAGAUUAAUACAAGAUGGCAUCAUGAGUCCGCAUGUUCACAUGAUUAAAGGUAUUCCGGUAGACGAUGGGGAUGCGUUCCAUUAGAUAGUAGGCGGGGUAACGGCCCACCUAGUCUUCGAUGGAUAGGGGUUCUGAGAGGAAGGUCCCCCACAUUGGAACUGAGACACGGUCCAAACUCCUACGGGAGGCAGCAGUGAGGAAUAUUGGUCAAUGGGCGAGAGCCUGAACCAGCCAAGUAGCGUGAAGGAUGACUGCCCUAUGGGUUGUAAACUUCUUUUAUAAAGGAAUAAAGUCGGGUAUGGAUACCCGUUUGCAUGUACUUUA
rnacentral:rRNA from 1 species